GCCUGGCUAGCUCAAUCGGUAGAGCGUGAGACUCUUAGUAUCUCAAGGCUGUGGGUUCAAGCCCCACGUCGGGCU
rnacentral:tRNA from 1 species